ensembl:lncRNA
GCCAUCCUUCACAGAGAGACGCAGGUUACUAGAGUACAUUCCAUUCAGAGUAGGUUCAUCCUGACAUCAUGCCAUCCUUCACAGAGAGACGCAGGUUACUAGAGUACAUUCCAUUCAGAGUAGGUUCAUCCUGACAUCGGUUUCAGAUGUCAACUCAUGCUGACUGGGAAUUCCUAGUGCUUAAUGUGAGCUGCUGUGUUCAUAGCACGGUUAUGAGUUGACAUAACUGGUUGGUGUGUUCAUAGGAGUUGUCAUAAGAACUAGGGGGUUAUAAGAUUAGGACAUGGUAACUGGUAGCUGUGUCUAUAAGGGGUUAUGAGCUGUCAUGGGGAGGAUGAGGGAAGGAAAUGGAGUGCGUGAGUCUGUAAUGAAUGAACACUGGGGCCCUGGAUCAGGAGUGACCAAUAAUAAAACAACAUUGGUUUAAAGUAGUGCCAUUAAAAGCUGUUUAAUACAUUUUAGGAGCUGUUGAAAUAAAUCCUAUAAUGUAUCAGAGUAGGAUUUAAAAUAAUGAAGAACUGAAUGUAAAAUCUAAAGAAAGCCUUAGCCAGGUGUUUCAUGUGCUGCUGUUAAGUUGUGUUGCUGACUGGCUUUAACACUUUCUGGAUUUCAUUAAGGCAGCUGAGUAGCGCUAGCUUCAACGCAAGGCCUUAUGGGGAGGCGUUAUGUCUAAGGAAUGCUAGCUUUGUCAAAACACUGUUUUUGCUCUCUUCAUAUGGUACUGAAGUUGGUCUGUAUGUUUAAAUUAACAAUGAUUUAUUAACUCUGCAUCUAUGCCAAAAACUCUACUGCAUCUUUCUGAGAUUCUGAAGUUUUGGUGUGUUCUGCAUCCAAUUUAAACACUACUUCUGUGCACUGUACAUAUAAUUAAUUGUAAUAAAACAAACAUUUAAUUGUCUUUUGCAAGAAAGUUGUUACGCAA